UUUCGACAAAAUUAAGCAGCAGUCGAGUCUUCAUUAUCCGGCAAAUUAAACAAUCCAAACCAUAAAUCGUCACCAGUACUAGUAUCUUUUAAAAAUUUGUCGAAGUCAAAAUCAUUUAGAAGAGCCGCAUCGAUGUCUGUUGAAUUUCCAACAUCCAAUAAUUGAUUGUCUGAAGAUUUAGUGGCAACUGUGGUAGACUCCGUAGGUGCAGAAGGAGUCGCGGAAGUAUCAGGAUUUGAUUUUCCUGACUGAUUUUGAUUAUCCAACUCAGAAUCGGAUUUGUGAACAUUUGCUCCUUGCGAUGGUUCCAAAGCAGGACCUACACUUGUUGCUUCAUUUGUUGAUGAUUCGGGGUUGGUAGUGUUGACGGUCGGUGCUGGAGUUGGAGCAUUUGAAUUAGCAGAAGAAGGCUUUUGUUUUGAUCGAACGUCCAAUGGAGAACUGGCAUUUGGAGUGGGUCGCGAUGAAUGAGUUUGUUGUAAUUGCCAAUUCCCCAUAACGUCCAUUCCAUUGUCCGCAUUAUUUGUGUCAGAGGUAGAUGAGUUUUCAAUCAGAUUAGAAUAGUUUGA